CCGAAAGGGUUGGYAAUACCGCAUGAGACCGACGGCUGGGAUGUUGUCGGUGAAACGGGACCGCAAGGCCUGGGGCUAAAAGAGGAGCCUGCGUCUGAUUAGCUUGGUGGGGUAACGGCCUACCAAGGCAUCGAUCAGUAGCCGGCCUGGGGUGAUCGGCCACACUGGAACUGAGACACGGUCCAGACUCCUACGGGCAGCAGUGGGGAAUUUUGCGCAAUGGGCGAAAGCCUGACGCUGGGUGAUGAAGGUCUUCGGAUCGUAAAACCCUGU
rnacentral:rRNA from 1 species